CCAGGUUAUUGUCGUAGAGACUGACAUGGCGCACGGGGGGCGGUGCGCGCCCCCCCCCCGAUUGAUCGCGGUGCCAUGAGCGGCGGACGGGUCCCUCACACUUUAUGAACCUGCCUCAAGGAUUGGGAUAACUCCGAGAAAUCGGAGCUAAUACCGGAUAGUUCAUCGGACCGCAUGGUCCGCUGAUGAAAGGCGCUCCGGCGUCACCUUGAGAUGGCCUUGCGGUGCAUUAGCUAGUUGGUGGGGUAACGGCCCACCAAGGCGACGAUGCAUAGCCGACCUGAGAGGGUGAUCGGCCACACUGGGACUGAGACACGGCCCAGACUCCUACGGGAGGCAGCAGUAGGGAAUCUUCCACAAUGGACGAAAGUCUGAUGGAGCAACGCCGCGUGAGUGAUGAAGGUUUUCGGAUCGUAAAACUCUGUUGUAAGGGAAGAACACGUACGAGAGGAAAUGCUCGUACCUUGACGGUACCUUACGAGAAAGCCACGGCUAACUACGUGCCAGCAGCCGCGGUAAUACGUAGGUGGCAAGCGUUGUCCGGAAUUAUUGGGCGUAAAGCGCGCGCAGGCGGCCUUUUAAGUCUGAUGUGAAAGCCCCCGGCUCUACCGGGGGAGGGCCAUUGGACACUGGAAGGCUUGAGUACAGAAGAGAAGAGUGGAAUUCCACUUGUAGCGUGGAAUGCCUAUACUUGUGUAGGACUCCACUGGCUAGGCGACUCUUUGUUCUGUACUGACGCCUGAGCGCGAAACGUGGGGCACUACCGGCUUCAUAUACCU
rnacentral:rRNA from 1 species